rnacentral:tRNA from 1 species
GGUGGGUUGGCUCAGUGGUUAGAGCGUAGGUCUUGUAACAAAGGUUGCGGGAUCGAAUCCCGCUAGAGGCUG